rnacentral:rRNA from 1 species
UACGUAGGGUGCGAGCGUUGUCCGGAAUUAUUGGGCGUAAAGGGCUCGUAGGCGGUUUGUCGCGUCGGGAGUGAAAACCCAGGGCUUAACCCUGGGCUGGCUUCCGAUACGGGCAGACUAGAGGUAUGCAGGGGAGAACGGAAUUCCUGGUGUAGCGGUGAAAUGCGCAGAUAUCAGGAGGAAGACCAGUGGCGAAGGCGGGUCUCUGGACAGUUCCUGACACUGAGGCACGAAGGCCAGGGGAGCAAACGGG